AUGAGCUGGAACGUGCGAGGGUUGAACUCGCCAGCCAGGAGAGCCACGGUCUGCGAGGUUGCAGACGCACACAGGCUGGUCGUGUUGUGCCUCCAGGAGAGCAAAAUAGAAUCAUGGUCGCCGGCGUUGGUAAAAGAAAUAGGAGGUAGCCGUUUAGACGCCGCCGCGGUCCUGCCAGCGGACGGCACAAGAGGCGGGGCUGCGAUCUUGUGGGACUCCUCCAAGAUCACCAUCGCCACUAGUGCGAUCGGCCAGUUUUCCAUCACAGCCCACGCAACAUUGCUGCAGAACAGCAACAAGUUCUGGAUUACCACC
rnacentral:rRNA from 1 species